CAAUUAAUCCCGCAGCUCUUUUAUGUGGAGUUCUUCUUUUAUUAAUAUCUCUUGAUUCCGAACUCCAAAUAUAGCAAAUAAUAUAUGCAUUUCGAUCAGCUCGACAAGAUCUUUGCAAUGGUGUACUCCAUUCUGUGAUUGGUGGAAACACCUGGGCGGGCGCCCUGCCCCCGGGCCCGUUCGGCCUCCCAUUCGUUCCCGUGGUUUCUGGACUCUUCUAGAUGAUAGAAAAUUGCGCGGCACGUUAAUAUCUCUAUGUAAUCUUGACAUGUGGGCCUUUCUUCCUUAUUUCUUGAUAACCCCCUGCAG
rnacentral:lncRNA from 1 species